CCCGCUGAACUUAAGCAUAUCAAUAAGCGGAGGAAAAGAAACUAACAAGGAUUCCCCUAGUAACGGCGAGUGAAGCGGGAUGAGCUCAAAUUUAAAAUCUGGCUGGUUUACUAGUCCGAAUUGUAGUUUAAAGAAGCGUUUUCGGUGGCAGCCUGGGUAUAAAUCCUUUGGAACAGGGUAUCAUAGAGGGUGAGAAUCCCGUCUUUGACUCAGUGCAUGCUACUAUGUGAUACGUUUUCAAAGAGUCGAGUUGUUUGGGAAUGCAGCUCAAAAUGGGUGGUAAAUUUCAUCUAAAGCUAAAUAUUGGCGAGAGACCGAUAGCGAACAAGUACCGUGAGGGAAAGAUGAAAAGAACUUUGAAAAGAGAGUUAAACAGUGCGUGAAAUUGUUGAAAGGGAAACGCUUGACACCAGUCAUGCGAGCGGAAAAUCAGUCUUUUGCAGUGGGGAGUGUGUGUGGGUUCGGACCGCAAGGCCGGCCUGCGCUUCAUCUCUGCUGUAAGUGAUGCACUUUUUCGUUUGCAGGCCAACAUCAGUUUCUUCUGCUGGACAAAACUCUUGAGAAGGUAGCAGCUUAGGCUGUGUUAUAGCUCUUGAGCGAUACAGUGGAGGAGACCGAGGUUUUCGCAGCGCGUGCUUUCGGGCAAGGCUGAUUGGGUGCUAUGGGAUCGUUCGGUGUACAAUGCAUGCAUUUUGCGCCGUGUCUUUUCUAUACUCGCUCAACUCGGCUCUUCCGCGCUUAGGAUGUUGGCUUAAUGGUUUUAAUCGACCCGUCUUGAAACACGG
rnacentral:rRNA from 1 species